AAGUCGUAAACAAGGGUUUUCCGUAGGUAACCUUGCUGAAGGAUUCAUUAAAGAAGUUGUCCUGACAACCCCUCUGGGGAUGGAGGGUGCUACAAGGGUCGGAGGCUCGGAGUUAAACCCCCGGUCCCCGAUCUCUUCCACCCUGGUGUAUACCUUCCACGUUGCUUUGGCGGGCCUGGGUACGUCCUUCUGGGCACCCUGCCGGCGUCGGACUUCGUCCCCGCCGGCGAGCGCCCGCCAGAGACCCUUACCAUUCUGAUUUUUUUCAAUGUCGUCUGAGCAAAAACACAAAAUAAAAUAAAA
rnacentral:misc_RNA from 1 species